GAUGAACGCUAGCGACAGGCCUAACACAUGCAAGUCGAGGGGCAGCGCGGGAGAAGCUUGCUUUUCCUGGCGGCGACCGGCGCACGGGUGCGUAACAGGUGUGCAAUCUGUCCAUAAUCGGGGAAUAGCCCAGCGAAAGUUGGAUUAAUGCUCCAUGUGAGUUUUAGAGGCAUCUCUUUAAUUUGAAACGUAAGGAUUAUGGGUGAGCACGCUUCUGAUUAGGUAGUUGGUGAGGUAACGGCUCACCAAGCCGACGAUCAGUAGGGGUUCUGAGAGGAAGGUCCCCCACAUUGGAACUGAGACACGGUCCAGACUCCUACGGGAGGCAGCAGUGAGGAAUAUUGGUCAAUGGUCGGAAGACUGAACCAGCCAAGUAGCGUGAAGGAUGAAGGUUCUAUGGAUUGUAAACUUCUUUUAUACGGGAAUAAAACCACUACGUGUAGGUGCUUGUAUGUACCGUAUGAAUAAGCAUCGGCUAACUCCGUGCCAGCAG
rnacentral:rRNA from 1 species